rnacentral:rRNA from 1 species
AUUGAACGCUGGCGGCAUGCCUUACACAUGCAAGUCGAACGGCAGCACGGGAGCAAUCCUGGUGGCGAGUGGCGAACGGGUGAGUAAUAUAUCGGAACGUGCCCAGUCGUGGGGGAUAACGUAGCGAAAGCUACGCUAAUACCGCAUACGAUCUAUGGAUGAAAGCGGGGGAUCGCAAGACCUCGCGCGAUUGGAGCGGCCGAUAUCAGAUUAGGUAGUUGGUGAGGUAAAGGCUCACCAAGCCGACGAUCUGUAGCUGGUCUGAGAGGACGACCAGCCACACUGGGACUGAGACACGACCCAGACUCCUACGGGAGGCAGCAGUGGGGAAUUUUGGACAAUGGGCGCAAGCCUGAUCCAGCAAUGCCGCGUGCAGGAUGAAGGCCUUCGGUU